rnacentral:lncRNA from 1 species
CCUUCUCCGGCGGGUCCAUGAACCCUGCACGCUCCUUCGGCCCCGCCGUUGCCAGCGGCGACUUCACCAACAUCUGGAUCUACUGGGCCGGCCCGCUCAUCGGCGGUGGCCUCGCCGGCGUCGUCUACCGGUACGUGUACAUGUGCGACGACCACAGCUCCGUCGCCGGCAACGACUACUAAGCCAGCCAUGGGAAGAGUCGUCGGGUCCAUAAUGCCUUCGGCAACAUAAAAGUGCGUACGUGGUGGGCAGUCUCACGAAUGUCUCGAUGAUGUGAAGAACAUCCUGUUGUUUGGUUCAGAUCGAAGCUGUAGCACCUGGAUGAUGCAUGUUCCUUUAUCUGUAAAAUGUGAUGUUGUGAAGUUGGUGGGGUUUGAGAAUUCUUCAGUUGAGUUUCCUUAUGCGAUUCAAUAAGAACAUCAUUGUUUAGUGCAUCCAAGACCUCGCUGUGAUCCUUCUCUGUUUGUGCUUUUUUUCUCCUCGAAUUUUCUCUGUUUGUGU